AUUCUUCUUCUUCUUCUUAUUUUUUCGCCAGCCCCUGCACGACGGAGUCGGUCCAGGCAGCUUCGAUGGUAACCCUGAAAGUGCCCAGGACGGUAGUGGUUGGUGCUGGAAAAGUCCGUGGGCCCCACCAUGAUUUAUUUCUUAUCCACUAUGUCUAUCCCUUUUGCUAGGUCAUUUUAGGGCAUUGGCCCAAAAAUGAGGGAAAUCCAAAUCUUAGUUGGACCACACCACAGGAAACAGUGGUGACUGGUGAUUGAAUGCAGGCCAUUUAAAACUUCCGCCGUAAUGUUUAUUUGCCAUCUGUUGAUUAGGCUACACAGACACGGAUGAAGGGAAAACACAAAUAUCAGCUUGAUCCAAUCCAACACUUUCGUGGCCCCCACAAAGUUUUUAAUUGUGAGCGUUCAAACACCCUUGUUUCCUGUGAUGUGGUCUACCCAAGAUUUGGAUCUCCCUCAAUUUUGGGUUCAUGACCUAAAAUGAUCUGGAAAAAUGGAUGGAUGGUGUGGAUACAAUCCAUACAUCAUAGUGGAGCCCACAACCCCAAAAAAAUUAUGGAUUAUUUUAUUUUAUUUUAUUUUGUCUUCUAAUAAAAUCCAUACAUCAUGGUGGGUCCACAUCCUGAUUUGACCUUUUUUUUGGGGCCCACAAAUUUGGAACCAUGUGGUUAGAAUGGUUCUAUUUGGGGGAGAACUUGUUUUGACUCACACUUGAAAGAUCGUUUGGGUGGGUUAGCUUUAUUGUUUACUAUUGCCUAAAAAGGUGUCCCUAGUGGAGGGCCCGACCCCUCAACAACUGUGCAGUAAAUAGGCAAAAAGAUAACAAGUAUAAUUUGAACAUAAGUUUCCAUGUAUUGGAGGGCCUUUUCAAAAUCCGUAAUGGUUGUUUCUCUAACAUCAGGUUACCAUGUCAGAUGAUUCCGUUUCUCGCACAGAUUGCUCCAUCUCAGAAGUAUCCGACAUUUCAAAUGGUGAUGCGGGUAUGGAUUACAUUAUAUUAGUUGUGGCAGUUGUUGCUGGUACGAUGGUAGCAAAUUGCUAUCAAGAAAAUUAUACAAUAAAAGAUUCACAAGAACAUUGACGAGAUUGGACAUGCACUUAGUCUGCAAAUGCAAUUGUUAAGGGUUUAUGAUCUACAGGCACUUAGUUGGGUGAUGACUACUUCUCAGAGGAGAUAUAUCUGCAAGUUGAACAAGCUAGGGGAAUUGCUCCAAAUGUGGGAGUGUUAGCUCUAGUAUGUAAGAAGAAAAAGAAGUACUCCCCAAGGGGGUAAUGCAAAAAUUGGAUCGCCUAUGCGACGCAAUCGGGGAAUAUAGCUGGAGGGAGAGGAAUUUGCCGGUACAAGUGUGGAAGGAGUUGAAAAAUCUCACAACCAUUGAUAACGAUAUGAUGUGGAAGGCCGCCAACUAUCUUGCAAGGUGAAGAAUGGUUUCUCAAAUGCACAACAAAGAAAGGAAGCUCGAGCUAUGCACAUUCUUCUUAAAGUAUUUUUUGCUCAUGUCCCAAGUUGCUGUCAGAAUUACUUCCAUUAUGCAUCUUAACAUUACAGCUGAUGAUAGGCCAAGAAUUGCACCUGUUUGGACUGAGUUGGUUCAAGAUGAAGGCUCUAAAAGGGUGGGGGGAAGGCACAAAAGGAUGUGUGUGGAGGUAGUAAGAAAAGACUUGAAGACCUAUGGUUUAACCGAGGAUAUGGUCCGUGGUAGAGUGGAAUGGCGGAAUAGAAUUUCUGUAGUUGACCCCAAUUAGUUUGGACAAGGCUUAGAUGAUGAUGAUGAUGAAACGAAGAGUUUUUGCUAGACUAUUCAUGUGGGCUGGUUUGGGAAAACCCUUGAAGUUUUUUGGAGAUUUGUGCUCUAAAGUGAUUAGCCCUUCAUCCUUAUUAAGAUAGGGCUUUCUAUUCUCUUGAAAGGAUUUGUUGAAGUUUUUCAUGUGAACACAGGGCUUGAACUUGUCUAUUCAGGUGUUGCAGCUACUGAUUGUCUGCAGGUUUUAACGGACAUCAUUUGAUGAUGCCAAAAGGUGAAGAAAGGUUUCUCAAAUGCACAACAAAGAAAGGAAGCCCAAGCAUGGACAUUCUUUUUGAAGUAUUUCUUGCUCAUGUCCCAGUCAACCAACAUAAAUGUCCGGCCAAAAUAUAUGUUUGUUGCUGUAAAAAAAUACAUCCAUUUUGUGUCUCAACAUAAUUGCUGAUGAGAGACCAAGAACUGCACUGGUUACAAGUGAGUGGGUACAAGCUGAAGGCUCUAAAAGGGCAAGGGGAAGCUCAAAAGGAUGAGCACUAUAGGUGGAGGUAGUAAGAAAUGACUUGAGGACCUAUGGUCCUAUGGUUUAAUUGUGGAUCUAAUUUGUAAUAGAGUAGAAUGGUGGAAUAGAACCCUCGUAGCUGACCCCAAUUAGUUGGGAUCAAUGUUUGCAGUAUCGGUAUCGUGUUAUGUAUCACACUUAUGGGAUAUAGUUAUGUAUCGGCUAUUGCCCAAGAUAUAUCGUUUGUAUCGGGUAAUUUAUUGCACUUUUUGAGAAACACGGGGAAAAAUUGGGAAAUUGGUUAAAAUUUUCAAUGAAACCUUAGGUAUUGCAAAAAAAAAAAAAAAAACCUUAAUACAUGACAUAGUGGGUGCACUUUCAAAUCAUAUCUAAAAAAAACGUGCACAUAAUAGGUUACCUUUGUACAGGGUCCUAACAUGCGUUGUCUGACUGAACAAAUGCAACUAUAUUCGAAUUGAAUUCAUAACAUUUAUAAAUGUAAGAAGACAUGAAAACAUAACCAAUCAUUCAAAAACAAAAGAAGUAGAAAUUGAGAAAUAUACUUAUGAAUGAUGUUAUUGGUUGUGGCCUAGACCGACAUAGAGCUAUAUGGUGGCUCGUAAUCAUCAUCUCCAUCUCGACGGGGUUGUGAAUAAUAUUGUUGCUCAAUAAAUCAACAGUACUAUGGCCAGGUCAUGGUAAAAUGGUACCAGUUAAGAUACUCCCUAACAUAACGCUGGUACCCAUCCUCUCUGAAUUGAACCAAUACAUCCAUCCGUGAGUACUGUGUAAUCGUCAAUCUAUGACUGAUAUGGAUUUUGGAUGGGCAUUGAUGGAGCUCUUGGGCAUCUAUAUUGCUGGCCAUAUACAUAUUGCCGCCCAUAUCCUUGCACGUAUGCAUUAGUGAUGUGCCGUAAUUGUUAAGAGUCGCUCGCUGCAUAUCCAUUAGGUCCAUAUCCAUACCCCAAAAUUCUCCUAUUUUGGAAUACCUUAUCCACCAAUCUUGACCUUUUUGUGUUUAAUGUGGACCAUUUGUUGCACUUUUCUUGCAGGUCUCAAUUUGAAAGGUUAGGAUUGUCCCUUUGAGGAGAUUUUGGAGCAUGGUCCAUCUACAGUGGCUUCCAACAGACUAAUGGUACGGAUCACACUCCAUCAUGGGACCCACUUGUGCAAACUGAAAGCCAAAGCAUACCAUGGAUAUCCUCUGGGUCGAGUAGUCUGUAAUUCCUCUUCAACCUGGCCUUCUAAUGAUCACCUGAAUAUUAUGAAUUUGUUGCUAUUGUCCAAAUUUUAGGAUUAGCAGUUGGAUUGGCAGUCGGUGGUCAUCAAUCCUGGUGGCCGUAGUUUGGUUACUAUAUUUGAACUUUUGGCCGUUCUAUUCUAACCAUUCAUUUGAUGGCCGCCAAUCAGUAUGAUUUCCUGGCAAUGCUCCAUAUACUGUGGGCCCCAUGAUUUAAAUGGGUCUAGAUUUAAACUCAGAGGCCCCAGAUUAUAGUCCUUGUUUCUCUUGAUGCAGUUGUUGGUGAUGGAUUCAGUUCUCCUGCAUGGAUUGCAUUUGUCCAUCAACAGACUGGGACCCACCAUACAAGACAAGCUAAAGCCAAGACUUGCUAAGGGAAUAGUGGGACACACAACACAGAGGACAAGUGGGCCCAUGCUUCUGUAAUCCAGACCAUUCGCCUGUUGUGUUCCUACCAUGUAUGGACCAUUCUCCAAGAUCAGGCUGAUUGGAAGAUUCCAGCCAGUGCUGUCAUCACCACGCCAUGGUCUUUCUUUAGUUGAAUUGGGCGUUAGCUCUGUUUAUUUUUCUUAACUGUCAAUUUCUGUGCUGCCAAUUGAAAAGGUAAGAUUGUCCUGUUGAGGAGAAAUUUGGCAGGGUCCAUCCAAGUAGAAUGCAACAGAUAAGUUUCCAGACCUGACCUCAACCUGUUAAUGUGAGCUGUUCAGUCCAAUCUGUCAGGCCUGCUAGGCUUGGAAACCUCCUCCCCAUUUCAUAUUUCCAAACUCCAAAGCUCAACUUGACUCAAUGUCUAGUUGGGUCAGGUCGACUUGAAGACUUGACUGAGUCUUUUCCUGACCCAACUCAAUAUUUUGUAUUUUAACAGAAGUUUAAAAUGUCUGGAAAUGGUAAAAUAACCAAAAUAAUGUAGUUCCGUUGUUUUAUGUACUGUUAGCAGGCAGAUAGGGUCACUGGGGAGGUCGCGGGUUCAGAUCUGCCCCUUUGUUUUUCAAAAAGAAAAUCUAUUGACUGGGUGAGUGACUCAGUUGAGUCUCCCCAAGUUGUAUUGAGUCGACCGAGUUUCCAUACUGAAUCAACUGAAUCUUGUUUUGAGUCUUGACCAAGUCAAGCUCAUCAGCAAGUUUGCAAGAGAUUCAGCUUGAAAUCACGCCGAAUUGAGUUCAAAGUUUUGAGUCGACCUACCAAGUUUUGGAACUAUGCUUCUUAAGACAAAACCCAGAGAGAAUUAGAACUAAAUCGGCUGUUAGACCUGUGGUUAAGAGUCAUUAGUUCUCAAUUAGAGCUCUUGGGUUCCAUCUUUCAUAGGCUCUAAUGAAACCCAGCUCAUUCCAGUCCAAACUGGUACAACCACUUGGGUCUGUUUAGAUUACUAGGGUGCAACAAUUAUCCAUGAAUAGAGAAAUUUGAAGGGUAGUUCAAGGAGAAGAGUAGAUGCAAUAGGAAGACUGUUAGUUGGGCAAAAGAAGAAGAAACCUUAGGACUCAAGGAAACAUCUCAUUUUAUAUAAACAGGAAAUCUUCAAGCAUUGUAGAAUACAGUUACAUAAGCUUCCUAGCGAGCCUUUUCACCUUAAUCUUGAGUUUUUUUUCUCUCUCUCUUUCUUUGUUCUUUUUGUUCACACUGUAGGGGUGUUUUAAGGUAUGGGACCAGGUGGGGGUGGUGGGCCGGGAGGACCCGGACCUGGUUGGGGUGGUGGGCCAGGAGGAUCGGGGCCAGGUUGGGGUGGUGGACCUCCAGGAUGGGGACCUGGCGGGCCCGGGUGGGGACCUGGUUUUGGUGGUUUUGGGGGUGGUUUGUGCAGCAUAUUAUCUUCAUGCUUCUACUUCCUGUGCUGUUGUUGCCUGUUACAAGAGUGCUGCGGACCGUUGUUCGGUGGGCCGCGUGGACCUGGUGGCCCACCUGGCCCUGGCUUCUGAGAUGGUAUUUCUAAGAAAUGGGUUUUAUCUAAUAACAUGAAAUGUAGUGGAUGAUCUAUGUCCCAUCGUAUUUUGCUUCAUUGUAUUUUAGAUGUUUAAUGGAUGGUCUGGAUCUCAUGGCCUCAUCCAUGAUCAUGUGA